UUUCUACCAUCCUAGGAGGCGAUUCAGGACAAAAAUCGUCUGAGGAGGAGCUGGUGGAGAUAGAUGAACAAGAGGAGAUGGUGGAGGAGCCGCUCCUCGUGGUGGAGGAAGAGUUGGUGAUGGUGCGGGAGGCGGUGAUGGAGAGGAUCAGGAGAGACAAGGACGACUCGACCCGUCUCUCUGUUAAGGAGACUUUUGUGGUACAUCAGAGUGCCACGGGCCGGGUGGUGUUGGUGGGGGUGCUGGGGUCAUGCCUUGGGCUUCUGGCUGGAUUUCUUCUGGCUCUCCUCCUGGGUUGCUGCUACGUCCGGUGUAGCCGCGGAAGAGCUCUCGAAUUUAACAAGAAGCACAACACCUACCAGAGCGCUGACGUCAUAGACGGGGCCGUAUGACGUCAUUAGUGUCACCAUGGCGACCCUCCCCUCACACUCAUCUUUAGUUCAGCCCCGUCAAGCCCACCCUCACCAGCUACCAAGUUUAUUAUGAUAUUCUGAGGUGCUAUAUUACCUAUGAUGUCUUGAUCGGUGUUAGUGCCGAUACGUAUGCCGAUAUUGGUGUUUUGUGGCCUUGAGUUUGUGGUUGAUUUACGACUGACCGUUCGUACUCAUUUGUAUACUAAUUUACAUAUAUAUUUACACACUUACGUAUAACCACAUGAUUGGCACUUACAUUUGUGUACUAUUUUCUGUAUAAUAUUUAUAGACCGUAAAUUUCCAUACUAACUUCCUAGUGGUCAUUCACACUCGUA